ACACGUGAUUCAGAGUUUGAUCCUGGCUCAGGACGAACGCUGGCGGCGUGCUUAACACAUGCAAGUCGAGCGGGGAUUGAUGAAGUGCUUGCACAGAUUCAAUUCUAGCGGCGGACGGGUGAGUAACGCGUGAACAAUCUGUCCCAGACAGGGGGAUAACACUUGGAAACAGGUGCUAAUACCGCAUAAGACCACGACACCACAUGGUGAUGGGGUAAAAGAUUUAUCGGUUUGGGGUGAGUUCGCGUCCGAUUAGCUAGUUGGUGAGGUAACGGCCCACCAAGGCGACGAUCGGUAGCCGACCUGAGAGGGUGAUCGGCCACAUUGGAACUGAGACACGGUCCAA
rnacentral:rRNA from 1 species